ensembl:lncRNA
UUCAGAUACAAAUUCCCAAAGGACCUUGAAUAUAAGAAAGCAGGCUCUGAAUUUUUUCAAAUAUUUUUUUCAUGGCUUACUAUGGAAGAAUAUUGACCAUCAGACAUAAAUCUGAGCUGAAGAUAGAAACAGUGCAAGCUACAGGUGCUUCCAAAACCACAGAUUUCAGAUGGUGACUAAAUGAAUCAUGAAGUGUGGGGUGCAGAAACUUCACUGCUGCUUCUUUCUACAUUGAUCAAAUAAGGAAGGAAACGUGCUGAUUUCUGGGGAAAAAAAAGGAUGUUGCAGAGUUUACUCUGCCUGAGGGAUAAGAUGAUGGAUCAAGAGAGGAAGAGGAUGUAAAUACAGUCCCUGUGUCUUUCCUGAGCCAGAGUUCUCCGGACCCGAUGAAAGCCUUGGGGUCCCCCUGGAUCUAUGGUUCCUUUUGAAAAGGCAGGAGAUGAGGGCUGGAGACCCAGACACAGAUUGAUUUUCAGGUGCACAAAAGAGAGUCUGGAAUUUCUGGGUUACCAGAUCUUCAUGGAUGGAUCUAGGAGCCUGGAAGCUGAGGAGAACCCCUGGACAGAGCACCAGGAUGCUUCACAGAGCACACAGCCGGAGCAUCUCUGGGUGCUGGAGAACAAAGCAUCUGAAAUUUGGGAUGAAAAUAAAAGUGUCAUAAAGUGUUACUGUGGAGAAGGCAGGCUUGGCCAGAUUUUUAAAAACUUCCCAUAUCUUCUCUGCCUUUUGACAGCUUCUCAGAUAACUCACAUGGUCCCAAAAGACUUCUGAUCAUCAGAAGAGACAGGAACCAGAAAGAAGGCUGAAAUUACCUUUUCUUGGUGAUCACAACAUGCAUUUCAGAAGGAGGAACAAGAUAAGGGUUUUUGAAGGUUGUGCUACAAACCUCAGAGGUGGGGAUUGUGUAUUGGAGCACACAUGAAGGAAGAGAAAGGGAGACAAGCAGGAUGUCCUGAGAAGGGUAGCAGAGGUGACGUGGCUCACAAGGGAGAGGGAUGGCUUGGCAGCGGAAGGUGUUUUUGGUGAAUCUCAUGUAGCUGAUGUGAGACUGGUUGUGAGACUAGCUGCCAGCUCUCCCCAGCCUGAUGGAAGAGCCUCCAGUUCAUCUCUUUAGGUAAAGUUCUUUCUCUGGUUCACUGUGACGUACAACCAAAGCACAGGCUAAUUCAUAAGAAAGAAUUUGUCUCGUUUUUUUGUAAUAAUGCAGCCUUCAGUGAAAAUGAUGUGAAGAAAAUAUAAAACAUAAACAGAUUUUGAAGGCUUCAAAGUGGUAUCAAGCCAAGAACUUUAACACUAGCAGCUAGCCUCGCUUUGCUCUUUCAUACAGGUACAGUUGUAGCCCUGGCAGAAGACUUCAGAGCAUGCUGAUAUUUGUAGAAUGUCAGCUCUUCAGUGAGAGGCACCAUGUGUUUAUUUGUUUAAAUGACAGAGUAGUUUCAAUGUUGAUGAUGGGACAUGAAGCACUUGGAAAUACUCACACCAGGAAUACUUUGAUGUUGCUGAGUCUUAACUAAAGUGGGCUCAGGUUUUCUGAAAAAGCUUUGCCUGUGCACCUCAGCUGUAGCAUGAGGGAAACCAGACCACCCUCUAGUGGGAUGAGACUGCAUUUCAGCAUGAGAUGUGUUACUGCUUUAGCUGUGAAACCAUGUUUCUGUUUCCUUUUGCCUUGGAGAUUUUUUCAGAUGAAAGAUAAGAUCAGAUAUUUAUCUGUGCACGCAGUGUGGGAGGGCUCCUAUCCUAAAGGCUCCACAAACUUCCCCUGCUCAAGGGGUUUCUGAGUCAGAUGGUGAGACUUGGUGUCUUGAUACUGAAAAAAGGAGCUGCCUCUCCUAUGUCUUGGGUUCCAAAACAUUUAAAUUAAUUUAUCUGUUUCUUCUGUUCUUUUUGUCACAACAUCGGGUCUAAUUGACACAUGCAAAAUAACAGCAAGGAAUUGGUAGAAUAUGGGGGGAAGGAAUCAGCUUCAGAAGGAAAAAUCCGUAAAAGGCUGGGAGCUGAGCAGCUGAAGAACUAGGAAAAGGUUUUCUUAAUUCAAAUUGGCCACAUGAAAAAGAUAGUGAAAAAAUAUUUCAACAAGUGAGUUUAGAGGAAAAACUACCAUGAAUUGUUUAUUUCACAAUUAUUAUUUGGUACAGCCAGAGCUUCCUCAUUUAAGAAAAAUGCAUGGUAAAGCUCCAGAUGACACACCUCGGAAAAUUCCUCUGCCUGGACACGAGAGCAGCCAUCGGUCCCAGCAUCAGGCACACCUAGAGCACCAGCUCAUGCAGAAGCAAAGGAAGCACCACAAAGGCAAACAGGAGGUGCCAUGUCCUCCCCAGAGGCACGCAUGAAAGCUGCCACACGGCAUUUGAAGGCCAUGUUUCAGCCACAGAUGGCUGGCAAGGCCAAGCUUUGGCACACAGGGUCUGGGAGCAGGGGAGACUGGUGGGGUGCAGUGGCAGCUUUGCUCCGGGAGGAAAGUGAAGGUCUGCCGUGGAGGGGGGCUCACUGUAGUUUCCACUUCAGUCAGCCAGCAUUUGCUGCUCCCCUGCCUGUAAAUCUCCUCCUAGGCCCUAAGCUUUCAAGAAAAUAAACUGUGUUUUUGUCUCCA